rnacentral:rRNA from 1 species
UAUUUUCCCAUUACGGGGAAAAGAAACCAACAGGGAUUGCCCUAGUAACGGCGAGUGAAGCGGCAACAGCUCAAAUUUGAAAGCUAGCCUUCGGGUUCGCAUUGUAAUUUGUAGAGGAUGAUUUGGGGAAGCCGCCUGUCUAAGUUCCUUGGAACAGGACGUCAUAGAGGGUGAGAAUCCCGUAUGUGACAGGAAAUGGCACCCUAUGUAAAUCUCCUUCGACGAGUCGAGUUGUUUGGGAAUGCAGCUCUAAAUGGGAGGUAAAUUUCUUCUAAAGCUAAAUAUUGGCGAGAGACCGAUAGCGCACAAGUAGAGUGAUCGAAAGAUGAAAAGCACUUUGGAAAGAGAGUUAAAAAGCACGUGAAAUUGUUGAAAGGGAAGCGCUUGCAAUCAGACUUGUUUAAACUGUUCGGCCGGUCUUCUGACCGGUUUACUCAGUUUGGACAGGCCAGCAUCAGUUUCGGCGGCCGGAUAAAGGCUCUGGGAAUGUGGCCUCCACUUCGGUGGAGGUGUUAUAGCCCAGGGUGUAAUACGGCCAGCCGGGACUGAGGUCCGCGCUUCGGCUAGGAUGCUGGCGUAAUGGUUGUAAGCGACCCGUUUAAAAACCCGGGACC